rnacentral:rRNA from 1 species
GACGAACGCUGGCGGCGUGCUUAACACAUGCAAGUCGAACGAUGAAGCCGGAGCUUGCUCUGGUGAAUUAGUGGCGAACGGGUGAGUAACACGUGAGUAACCUGCCCUUGACUCUGGGAUAACUGCGGGAAACUGUAGCUAAUACCGGAUACGACCCUCGGAGGCAUCUCCUGGGGGUGGAAAGAAUUUCGGUCAAGGAUGGACUCGCGGCCUAUCAGCUAGUUGGUGAGGUAAAGGCUCACCAAGGCGACGACGGGUAGCCGGCCUGAGAGGGUGACCGGCCACACUGGGACUGAGACACGGCCCAGACUCCUACGGGAGGCAGCAGUGGGAAAUAUUGCACAAUGGGCGCAAGCCUGAUGCAGCAACGCCGCGUGAGGGAUGACGGCCUUCGGGUUGUAAACCUCUUUCAGCAGGGAAGAAGCGAAAGUGACGGAACCUGCAGAAGAAGCACCGGCUAACUACGUGCCAGCAGCAGCCGCAG